CAGAUGCCACUGACCCAGCCCGUGAAAUGCACAUACAGAGUGGUAUUGGAGAAGCAAAUAGGUACCUGUUUGACAACUCUUACAAUCUUUCCUGUGGCAGAGAUGACUGACAAUGCCAGAUAUGAAAGUAAAAUAAAGUAAAAGAAGAAAAAGUGAAGCAAUGGAAAAAUCUCCCCUGGCUCACAGUGUUGAAGAGAAGGUAUUUCCAAACCUCAACAUGUGUUUUUGAACUUUCUUUUAUGAGGAAGAGAGACCAUCUACCACUGUUGUGGAGAGCACUUCAUAAGGAAAAUAAAUUUCUCUGGAAGAGCAUGGAGCCAAGCAGAUGCUUACAAGCACCUGUGUCACAUGAGGAAGAGGAUGUCCCAGAGGAAACAGACAUGAUGCCUUCUCUUUUCACAGCCUUUGCUUUGGGGCACAGGGACACAAGCCACUCUGCUGGAUUAAGUUAAUUAAAUAGGAAGACAAGCUAUCUUCCCCCCACAGUAAACCUUGGGAAACUGAGAGGAAAUACCACAACUGGUUGCUGCCAUGUGCAGCACAAUCAAGCUCAAUUUUGAAAGCACAUCAUCACUAACUUUCACAAAAGAUAAUUACCAGUGCUUGAAUAAAACUGUCAGGUUUGGAGUUCCCAUUGUGGUGCAGUGGAAAUGAAUCUGACUAGGAACCAUGAGGUUGCAGGUUAGAUCCCUGGCCUCGCUC
rnacentral:lncRNA from 9 species